rnacentral:rRNA from 1 species
GAUGAACGCUGGCGGCGGGCCUAAUACAUGCAAGUCGAGCGAACAGACGAGGAGCUUGCUCCUCUGACGUUAGCGGCGGACGGGUGAGUAACACGUGGAUAACCUACCUAUAAGACUGGGAUAACUUCGGGAAACCGGAUCUAAUACCGGAUAAUAUAGUGAACCGCAGGGUUCAAUAGUGAAAGAGGGUUUUGCUGUCACUUAUAGAUGGAUCCGCGCCGCAUUAGCUAGUUGGUAAGGUAACGGCUUACCAAGGCGACGAUGCGUAGCCGACCUGAGAGGGUGAUCGGCCACACUGGAACUGAGACACGGUCCAGACUCCUACGGGAGGCAGCAGUAGGGAAUAUUCCGCAAUGGGCGAAAGCCUGACGCAGCAACGCCGCGUGUGUGAUGAAGGUCUUCGGAUCGUAAAACUCUGUUAGUAGGGAAGAACAAAUGUGUGAGUAAAUAUGCCCGUCUUGACGGUACCUAAUCAGAAAGCCCCGGCUAACUACGUG